rnacentral:misc_RNA from 1 species
AAGUCGUAACAAGGUUUCCGUAGGUGAACCUGCGGAAGGAUCAUUAUCAUACGUAUACACGUAUAAACCAAUGUCGAACUCGUACAAGUCCGUUAGGUCUGGGUAUAGUUGCUCUGAGGUUGGGAUCAAUUCAAACAAAUACAGAGAUCUCCGAUUUCUGUAGCCCUCUCCUAGCACGCGUAUUUCCAUCAAACUUUGAACAUCUUUUCUUUUACAUUUAACCCAUUUCACCCAAUCUUAUAACUGAACUAAACACGAUCCGCUUCGAAAGGAGCAUCGAUCGACAAGAUACGAAACUUAAGAACAACUCUUAACAACGGAUAUCUUGGCUCUCGU